rnacentral:rRNA from 1 species
GAUGAACGCUGGCGGCGUGCCUAAUACAUGCAAGUCGAGCGAACGGACGAGAAGCUUGCUUCUCUGAUGUUAGCGGCGGACGGGUGAGUAACACGUGGAUAACCUACCUAUAAGACUGGGAUAACUUCGGGAAACCGGAGCUAAUACCGGAUAAUAUUUUGAACCGCAUGGUUCAAAAGUGAAAGACGGUCUUGCUGUCACUUAUAGCUGGAUCCGCGCUGCAUUAGCUAGUUGGUAAGGUAACGGCUUACCAAGGCAACGAUGCAUAGCCGACCUGAGAGGGGGAUCGGCCACACUGGAACGGAGACACGGUCCAGACGACUACGGGAGGCAGCAGUAGGGAAUCUUACGCAAUGGGCGAAAGCCUGACGGAGCAACGCCGCGUGAGUGAUGAAGGUCUUCGGAUCGUAAAACUCUGUUAUUAGGGAAGAACAUAUGUGUAAGUAACUGUGCACAUCUUGACGGUACCUAAUCAGAAAGCCACGGCUAACUACGUG